rnacentral:rRNA from 1 species
GAUGAACGCUGGCGGCGUGCCUAAUACAUGCAAGUCGAGCGAACAGAUGAGGAGCUUGCUCCUCUGACGUUAGCGGCGGACGGGUGAGUAACACGUGGAUAACCUACCUAUAAGACUGGGAUAACUUCGGGAAACCGGAGCUAAUACCGGAUAAUAUAUUGAACCGCAUGGUUCAAUAGUGAAAGACGGUUUUGCUGUCACUUAUAGAUGGAUCCGCGCCGCAUUAGCUAGUUGGUAAGGUAACGGCUUACCAAGGCAACGAUGCGUAGCCGACCUGAGAGGGUGAUCGGCCACCUUGGAACUGAGACACGGUCCAGACUCCUACGGGAGGCAGCAGUAGGGAAUCUUACGCAAUGGGCGAAAGCUUGACGGAGCAACGCCGAGUGAGUGAUGAAGGUCUUCGGAUCGUAAAAAUCUGUUAUUAGGGAAGAACAAAUGUGUAAGUAACUAUGCACGUCUUGACGGUACCUAAUCAGAAAGCCACGGCUAACUACGUG